rnacentral:rRNA from 1 species
GAUGAACGCUGGCGGCGUGCCUAAUACAUGCAAGUCGAGCGAACAGACGAGGAGCUUGCUCCUCUGACGUUAGCGGCGGACGGGUGAGUAACACGUGGAUAACCUACCUAUAAGACUGGGAUAACUUCGGGAAACCGGAGCUAAUACCGGAUAAUAUCUUGAACCGCAUGGUUCAAUAGUGAAAGACGGUUUUGCUGUCACUUAUAGAUGGAUCCGCGCCGCAUUAGCUAGUUGGUAAGGUAACGGGCUACCAAGGCAACGAGGCGUAGCCGAACUGAGAGGGGGGUCGGCCGCACUGGAACUGAGACACGGUCCAGACUCCUACGGGAGGCAGCAGUAGGGAAUCGUACGCAAUGGGCGAAAGCCUGACGGAGCAACGCCGCGUGAGUGAUGGAGGUCUUCGGAUCGUAAAACUGUGUUAUUAGGGAAGAACAAAUGUGUAAGUAACUAUGCACGUCGUGACGGUACCUAAUCAGAAAGCCACGGCUAACUACGUG